AAAAAACAGAUUUAUAUCUUCUUUGGAAAAAAAGAGACUUUCCCUGUCGCUUCCAGCUUUUCCUUCAGAACAGGUCUGUCAGCAGUGUUGCACAAUACAUUGUCCAGUCCUGAAGAUAUUAAGCACGGCAACAAACCACAUGAAAACACAUUCCAGAUUUCUGGAAGCACUGCUGCUCCAGCCCAAAUAAGCCAGUCCACUGCUGAUUUAAUGAUCUAAGAUUGAACUGCUUACCGUAUUCAUCAGUCAUCCGCUACAUAAGCAUAAAAUACAGAUCCACACUUAUUUUUCUGAUUAACUGUAGCCUUAGGGCUUGCCUAUGGAAAAUAUUUAUAAGACAAACUAAAUGAAAGUCACUUCCAUUCUUAAUGAACAGAUUUAACCAAACUGCUUGGAACUGAACUCUCCCAUUCAUCACCGCAAUCUUUUCUUUCACACCUACACUGCAGGCAAGAGCUAAAGGACAGCAACAUCCAUUCCAGUUAUAACCUACUGUUACCCAACAAAGAAAUCUUAGGCAGUGCUUGGAUCGGGGUUUUUCAGAAGCUUUAAUAGGUAGACAGAUUUCAAAAGCUCUAAAGGUCUCUUGUACAUCAUUACUUCCAAGUAUCUUGGCUUAAGUUUAAGGCUUAGUGCACCAUAGUCCUUUCUUGGUCUGUGUACCUGCAGCACCCACAGCAGCAUCCAGAUGGAAACAUGUCGUGCCACAGCAAUUCUAUUACAGAGCUUGAGGCCUCACAGUCCCAGGUGAGCUCCCUUCACCUGCAGACAGGACUUAGAGGUUAAGAAGCAAAGCCUGCUCAUGCUGCUGUCCCUGACACGGGCAGGAGGAGCUGCUGCUGGCGAGUUAUUUCUGUGUACAUUUGAACCGUAGAUAAAAGAACAGAGCAGUCCGGGAGCAGCAGCACAUCUGCACGGCAACAGCGGGGCGACUCGAAGGAAUCGGGAACCUAAACACCCAUACUCCAGUCUUUACAUACAUCUUUUUAGACUGAACCCAAGGCAGCAGCUCACACACACCGCUCUCAGUCACGCUACUACGAUACAGUCCCAUUUUUUCGGUCACAACCCCACAGGAAGCGCCGCGCGGUGGUGGGACAAGGAUCCCGAACAGGAGCCGGAACGGCCCCAGCAGCGGGGCAGCCCCACACACAGCGCCGGGCGCUGACAGACAGAGGCCGCACCGCGCCCAACACACACAGCGGCUGAGGGACCCCGCGCCGCUUCGCCUCCCGUCCCCUCCCCCCGUCCUCGAGCCUUUUGGCACCAUCCCCGCUGCCAGGCCCGGGCUCAGCCGCAGCUCUCGGGGCAGAGCCCCCCCGGCCCCACCGUACGGGCACAGCCGAGGCCCCGUUGUCCCCCGGGCCCUGUCAGGGCCGAGAGGCCGCCUCCCCCCGCGACGCCCGAGGCUCCGCUCCAGGCGGCGGCGACAUCGAGGAAGAGCCGGGAGAAAGGGCAGAACGGUACCAGCACCAGCAUUCUUGCCAGCAGCAGAACGUAUUGCCAGCCUGCAGCACGUGAAACCCCAUUGGAUGAUCCAGUCUCUGGAGAGUCAAAGCCUGAAAGGCCCAUGAGCUCAUCUGGCUGUCAAAGUGAACACCUGGUCAAAACAAAACUAGUACCAG